AUGUCAGAGAAAAAGCUACACUCUGGGCAAGUAGAAAGCAGCAGCCCAGACCUGCAGUUCUCCAAGGAGGCUCCCAGGACCAGCAGCAUCAGCCCAACCAGGAACCUGUAUGACAACACAGUGACUGACACAUGUGCCUUCCAGGUCCCUGGCUGGGAAGGAAGCGGGCAGACGCCGGCGGCGGCGGCGGCGGUGGCGCUGGGUGUAGCGGGCCGCGGCACCACCGUGGCGGUGCGACAGACGCUGGGCUGCGGCCUGCAGUUGGGUGGAGCGCUGCUGCUGCGCUUCACCGGCAAGCCUGGCCGGGCCUGCGGCGGGCUGGGUCCGCGGGGAGCGUCUGGGCUGGGCCGCGGGACCGGGCGCGGAGCCUCGCAGGGUCGGGCUCAGGCUCCCCAACCGCUCCGGCUUCUUCCUCCAGUUUGUGGCCGGGCUGGCGGCGCGGCUGCAGCGGCAGUUCACGGUGCGGGCCCUUGUGGCCGGGCACUCUUUCUGGCCUUGGGCUAGGGGUGGGCCUCAUCGAGGAGAAGCAGGAGGAGAGCCGGCGGGCGGCCUCGGCCUGUCAGGAGAUCCAGGCAAGUUUUACCGAGAAAAGCAAGCUAGGGUCUGAUCCGUUGGACACCAGACGCUGGCAAGGCUUUCGGCUGGAGGAGUAACUGAUAGGGCAGUCCAUUGGCAAGGGCUGCAGUGCCGCUGUGCAUGAAGCCACCACGCCUACACUGCCCCAGAACCUGGAGGUGACCAAGAGCACCAGGCUGCUUCCAGGGAGAGGCCCAGGUACCAGUGCACCUGGAGAAGAGCAGGAGCGAGCUCCGGGGGCCCCUGCCUUCCCCUUGGCCAUCAAGAUGAUGUGGAACAUCUCGGCAGGUUCCUCCAGUGUAGCCAUCUUGAACACAAUGAGCCAGGAGCUGGUCCCAGCGAGCCUAGUGGCCUUGGCCGGGGUGUAUGGAGCAGUUGCUUACAGAAAAUCCAAGAGAGGUCCCAAGCAACUAGCCCUUCACCCUAGUAUCACCAGGGUUCUCCCCGCCUUCACCUCUUCUGUGCUGCUGCUGCCAGGGGCCCUGGUCGACUACCCUGAUGUGCUGCCCCACAUCUCCACCCUGAAGGCCUGAGCCAUGGCUGGACGCUGUUCCUCGUCAUGAAGAACUAUCCCUGUACCCUGCUCCAGUACCUUCGCAUGAACACACCCAGCCCCUGCCUGGCCACCAUGAUGGUGCUGCAGCUGCUAGAAGGCGUGGACCAUCUGGUUCAACAGGGCAUUGCACACAGAGACUUGAAAUCUGACAACAUCCUCGUGGAGCUGGACCCAGAUGGCUGCCCCUGGCUGGUGAUCACAGAUUUUGGCUGCUGCCUGGUUGAUGAGAACAUCGGCCUGCAUUUGCCCUUCAGCAGCUGGUGUGUGGAUCGGGGCUGAAACGGCUGCCUGAUGGCCCUGGAGGUGUCCACAGCCCAUCCUGGCCCAGGGCAGUGAUUGACUACCGCAAGGCUGAUGCCUGGGCAGUGGGAGCCAUUGCCUAUGAAAUCUUCGGGCUUGUCGAUCCCUUCUAGAGCCAGGAUAAGGCCCACCUUGAAAGCCACAGUUAUCAAGAGGCUCAACUACCUGCACUGCUCGAGCUGGUGCCUCCAGACGCUAGACAACUGGUGAGGACACUGCUCCAGCGAGAGGCCAGCAAGAGACCAUCUGCCUGAGUAGCCGCUAAUGUGCUUCAUCUAAGCCUCUGGGGUGAACAUAUUCUACCCCUGAAGAAUCGGAAGUUAGACAAGAUGGUUGGCUGGCUCCUCUAACAGUUGGCUGCCACUUUGUUGGCCAACAGGCUCACAGCGAAGUGUUGCGUGGAAACAAAAAUGAAGAUGCUCUUUCUGGCUAACCUGGAGUGUGAAGCACUCUGCCAGGCAGCCCUCCUCCUCUACUCAUGGAGGGCAGCCCUGUGACGUCCCUGCAUGGAGCUGGUGAAUUACUAAAAGAAGAACUUGGCCGCCUCUGUGUCGUGAUGGUCUGUGAGUAGUGAGGGUGGAAGUCAGGAGACAAGAUGGUGCAGAGAGGGUUGGUUAGCCAAAGAGAAGGUCUCAGGCUUGGCAAAUGGAAGAACCUGAGUCAGAGUUCAGUCUGCAGCUGCUAAGUCUAGCUGUGCAAUUUGGGAUAAAUCUUAUAACCUGUGUGGACUUAAGUUCUCUCGCCUGUAAAACGAAGAAAUUGGUAUAAACCAGAAGUUGGCCACCUUUCAGGUUGUGACACCUGGUCAGUCUUCCUUGUGGCACAAAAGCAACCCUGAGCACGUAAUAAGUGUGGCUGGGUACCAGGAGAGCUUUAUUGAUGGACACUGAUGUUUGAUUUCCAUGUGUCACUAGUCUUUUCAACCAUUUAAAAAUGUAAGGACCAUUUUUAGCUCACAAGUCAAAUACAGGUUGCAGGCUAGAUUGGCCCACACACGUUUGCCAACCCUCUGAUCUAGAUGAAUCUGAAGAACCUAACGACUCUACAAAAAAAAAAUUUUCUAAAAGCAAACUGAUCACUAGGUCUGUUUGUGCUUCCGUGCUGAAAAAAAAAUGUGGUAAGCUUAUCCCGGUGUAGGAAGCCAAAGGAAUGCAUUCUCUUCACCAGUCAGGAAGGUAACUCAGGCUUGAUUGCAGACUUCAAAGCCCUGUCUUCAACCCUUGCCCUGUCCUCAGACGUCUGAAAAGUUAGUGGCCAAGCUGAUGUAUUAGAGGAGGCUGGACUGAGGAGGGGUAGGCCUGCAUUCACAGCAGAGAGGAUCCAGGCCAAGGCACUGGCUGUCAGUGGCAGAGUUUGGUUGUGACCUUUGCCCCUAACACGAGGAACUUGUUUGAAGGAGGCCAUGUAGCAUGUCUGUAUUUGCCACCUGGACAAAUGCAGCCAUCAGCAUGAGUCAGCACAUUCAGUUACGGGAGUGGGAAAUGUCCACGCGAGGCUUGGGAGGUGGGGGCCUCUGUGUUCCCAAGCUGUGCAUUCUGGACCAGCUACUGAAUUAAUCUCACAUAGCGAAGGUGACUGAUGAGCAGGAAGUAAGUGUGGGGAUUUAAACUUGAGAGUUUCCCUUCCGACUAGCAUCUCUUACAGGAAUUGUGAAAUAUUAAAUGCAAAUUUACAAC